rnacentral:rRNA from 1 species
UACAGAGGUGGCAAGCGUUGUUCGGAAUUACUGGGCGUAAAGGGCGCGUAGGCGGUCUUGCAAGUCCCGUGUGAAAUCCCUCGGCUCAACUGAGGAAUCGCACGGGAAACUGCUUGGCUUGAGAUCGGGAGAGGGAAGCGGAAUUCCGGGUGUAGCGGUGAAAUGCGUAGAUAUCCGGAGGAACACCGGUGGCGAAGGCGGCUUCCUGGACCGACACUGACGCUGAGGCGCGAAAGCUAGGGGAGCAAACAGG